GAUGAAGAACGCAGCGAAAUGCGAUACGUAAUGUGAAUUGCAAAUUCAGUGAAUCAUCGAGUCUUUGAACGCACAUUGCGCCCCCUGGUAUUCCGGGGGGCAUGCCUGUCCGAGCGUCAUUGCUGCCCUCAAGCACGGCUUGUGUGUUGGGCCCCGUCCUCCGAUUCCGGGGGACGGGCCCGAAAGGCAGCGGCGGCACCGCGUCCGGUCCUCGAGCGUAUGGGGCUUUGUCACCCGCUCUGUAGGCCCGGCCGGCGCUUGCCGAUCAACCCAAAUUUUUAUCCAGGUUGACCUCGGAUCAGGUAGGGAUACCCGCUGAACUUAAGCAUAUCAAUAGCGGAGGA
rnacentral:misc_RNA from 1 species